AUAUAUGUAUAUAUGUGUGUAUAUAUAUAUAUAAUUAGAAUGGGUUAGGUGAACCCAAUAAAACCAGACCCAGUCUAUUUGGAUGAACCCGGAUGAGGGAUGGGCUAAACUUCAGGUAGAAAAGGAAAUAACAUAUUAUUAUUAUGACAUGAUUGUAGGUGACUUAGGACUCGUCACCAGGACGCGGGAGACCUAGGAAAAAGGCAAAUUACUAUCACCACCAGUGACAGCUGCCAGAAGCAUUUUUCUUUUGCAACAGGGCUUCUUUAUUUUUGGGGAUGAUAUAAAUAAACUUUUGUGUAUAUAAACUAUGUAGAAGCUCUGUACUUUAUAUGAACCAGUGGGUUGUAAUACCUUCUUUUGAUAUAUACAAGUUACACUGCUUUUGACUA